AAGAGACAGCAGCCGCCGCGGUAACACGGAGGGUGCAAGCGUUAUCCGGAUUUAUUGGGUUUAAAGGGUCCGUAGGCGGAUCUGUAAGUCAGUGGUGAAAUCUCACAGCUUAACUGUGAAACUGCCAUUGAUACUGCAGGUCUUGAGUAAAUUUGAAGUGGCUGGAAUAAGUAGUGUAGCGGUGAAAUGCAUAGAUAUUACUUAGAACACCAAUUGCGAAGGCAGGUCACUAAGAUUUAACUGACGCUGAUGGACGAAAGCGUGGGGAGCGAACAGGAUUAGAUACCCCCGUAGUCCCUGUCUCUUAUAC
rnacentral:rRNA from 1 species